rnacentral:lncRNA from 1 species
AGAAACCAGUAAAGGCCGCUGCCCUAUUCAAGAUGAAAUGUGUGGACCGCCCCCAGCCCAGUUGAAAUUUCCCGUGAAAGUCUCUCGCCCCUUCCCCACAGCUCCACUUCAGUGGACUGGAGGGCGCAGGCCUUUGUUCUGACUGCUUCUGUCUGCCUGCCUCCCACCCGACGACACUCACAUGCCUCUGGUGCACAUGGCUUCCUCCCCGGCGGUGGACGUGUCCUGCAGGCGGCGGGAGAAGCGGCGGCAGCUGGACGCGCGCCGCAGCAAGUGCCGCAUCCGCCUGGGCGGCCACAUGGAGCAGUGGUGCCUCCUCAAGGAGCGGCUGGGCUUCUCCCUGCACUCGCAGCUCGCCAAGUUCCUGUUGGACCGGUUAGGGGCCGGGAGAAGGGCUUGGGGGAGGGUACCCAGGCAGCAGCCCCUAGCCUCCUCUCCAGGGCCUGUCCUGCUGCUCUUUUCCACCCUCAGGUUUCUCACUUUACCAGGACGGCCUGUGUGACUUGUGGCCUCCGAGGGUCCUGCUCCCCUCCUCAUGGUCUCAGCGAAUAGCGGCCCUUAGGGCUGGCCCCUUACAUGUGUGAGUGCCCAGGGCUGAGGGUGGCUGGCCACCUGAGUCCUGACCUGCCUCUUCUCCUGCUGGCAGGUACACUUCUUCAGGCUGUGUCCUCUGUGCAGGUAGGUAGGGGAUGGCAGGGGGUGAGAGCCAGAGGGAAGAGGGACCACAGGGUGACCCAGAAACACCCUCCUUUCAAAGGGAGCCCUGAGUAAGUUUGGGAAGGGUGGGGUGAGUUGGGGAGCACAGGGUAGUUUGAUGGAGGCAACCUCUGGGUGGGGAAGGGAGCAAUGUCUCAGGAUCUAGUGUGUCUAGGUUCUGAAGAAUGAUAAAUUGGACU